GAGCUCUUUCUGGACUGUGGGGAAAAAACCCUUUAGAUAUUUGUCGAAGUGACUCUUAAAAGUGGGUGCUUUUUAGCACUGUGUGGCCUUACGGCAGCUGGAAUUCGGAGCUCUUUCUGGACUGUGGGGAAAAAACCCUUUAGAUAUUUGUCGAAGUGACUCUUAAAAGUGGGUGCUUUUUAGCACUGUGUGGCCUUACGGCUGACUUGGAUGAGAGGAUCAUGUGGUUGAGGAGCUGAAAGGGGU
rnacentral:lncRNA from 1 species